rnacentral:rRNA from 1 species
UUGGAGGGCAAGUCUGGUGCCAGCAGCCGCGGUAAUUCCAGCUCCAAUAGCGUAUAUUAAAGUUGUUGCAGUUAAAAAGCUCGUAGUUGAAUUUCGGGGUCAGUAGGUUGGUCAUGCCACUGGUAUGUACUGGUCUCACUGAUUCCUCCUUCCUGAUGGGCCGUAAUGCCAUUAAUUUGGUGUUGCGAGGAAUCUGGACUGUUACUUUGAAAAAAUUAGAGUGUUUAAAGCAGGCUAACGCUUGAAUACAUUAGCAUGGAAUAAUGAAAUAGGACGUUCGAUCUUAUUUUGUUGGUUUCUAAGAUUGACGUAAUGAUUAAUAGGGAUAGUUGGGGGCAUUAGUAUUCAAUUGUCAGAGGUGAAAUUCUUGGAUUUAUUGAAGACUAACUACUGCGAAAGCAUUUGCCAAGGAUGUUUUCAUUAAUCAAGAACGAAAGUUAGGGGAUCGAAGACGAUCAGAUACCGUCGUAGUCUUAACCAUAAACUAUGCCGACUAGGGAUCGGAUGAUGUUAAUUUUUUAAUGACUCAUUCGGCGCCUUACGGGAAACCAAAGUGUUUGGGUUC